rnacentral:ncRNA from 2 species
UUGUAAUUUUGAUCUGAGAUUAUUGAACGACAAAAAAUAAAGUUUAAGGGGAAUCAUGUGUAAAUCAUGAGCUGUUGCGCAACUGUAAAUUAGCGUUGCUGAUAAGCCAGAACACCUUAUUUCGUUUCAAUGACUUU